CUUUGCUCCUCCUUCACAGUAAAAUCUCAGCUACCACGAAACAUAUCUCUGCACCUUGGAGAAGACUCGAGCGAGCUAUAUAUAUGCGGUUGUAAUUUGGGAGAGAGGAUGGGUGCGUAGGUUAAGCGGGGAUACGUCGUGUCAAGCGCAGGAUAGCUUCAAACUUCUACUCUUUUCCUUUUCUGUGAUGCUUGGUGUACUGUGCGUUCGUCCCAAGCCUUGGAUCCUUAAUUCCCUGUCCUCCUCCUUCGUCCACGGUUCAGCGGCUCACCAUCAUAUCACCGGGCUACGCCAGAGCCCCGGCUUCAAUGGCGACCUGAAGCCUCGGCGCCACCACUCCAGUGCUUGUCGGCUCGAUGGCUCCUUCGGUGGCGGUGCGGCCUCCAUAUGGCACGCGAUCAUGCCGUGCGGAGCCGCCAGGCAUCCGAGCGAUCUCCUGCUCCGUCGUAAGGCGAUGCUCCGGCGUGAGCGGAGGGGGGAGGGGUCGUGGAACGUCGCCUGGGACGCACGCCCCGCCCGCUGGCUUCACCGGCCUGACUCGGCUUGGCUACUUUUCGGCGUCUGCGCCUGCCUUGCGCCGCUGGAUUUUGCGGUCGAUGACAGUCCCGAGGCUAUCGUUGUGGAUACGAAAAUCGAAGCUUGCGAUUCCAUUGACUCGAACGAUAACAAAAACGAUGAAAUCGACGGUUUGGAUGUAAAUUAUUCGAACACCAGCAAGAAUAAUGAGGGCUCUGCUGAUUACAGGGUCACAGGGGUGCUGGCGGAUGGUCGAUGUCUAUUUAGAGCAUUAGCACAUGGGGCUUGCUCGAGGAGUGGGGAAGAAGCUCCCGAUGAGAAUCGUCAGAGAGAACUUGCUGAUGAAUUAAGAGCUCAAGUUGUAGAUGAACUUUUAAAGAGGCGGAAGGAAACAGAAUGGUUCAUUGAAGGAGAUUUUGAUGCGUAUGUGGAGAGAAUUCAACAACCUUAUGUAUGGGGUGGAGAACCUGAAUUGCUGAUGGCUUCUCAUGUUUUGAAGACACCAAUAUCAGUCUUCAUGAAAAGUAGAAGCUCGGGUCGUUUGGUAAACAUAGCAAAGUAUGGUGAAGAGUAUCGAAAGGAGGAAGAGAACCCCAUCAAUGUGCUGUUUCAUGGGUAUGGUCACUACGAUCUAUUGGAGUCCUUCUCAGAAUAAAGAGCUAAACAUCAAGAAGUUGAGUAUGUUUUUUAGAAGUUUUUCGAAUAAAGCGAAAGCAUCUUAGAAAGAGCUUACUUUUCCCAGGAGGAAGUCUUUCAGACGGUCAAAAUACCGCAUCAAAGUUAUAUAAUGCCCUGCAAUAAGCUAACUAUUGCUUUAGGGCUUGUUCAAUUUUGUAGUGGGCAGGCGAAUUGUUGACGAUGAAGCUGCUUGGCCAAGUCUGCUUUAUACACGUGUCUUGAAGGAAAUCACACAUCUUUCUUUCUUUCAAUGGCGUGCAGUACUUUCAACCCCAUAUUAUUCUUUGAAAUUGAAAUCAGCGUUGGAAAGUCACAAUGCCUUUCGUAAUCAUCACUUUUGAAUUCUUUGGACCCUUUAGCCACCCAGAAGUUUCUUAUGUUGUGGUGCUGAUUUUGAGUUCGUACUUUCUACUUUUGCCCCAUACGUGUAUAUAUUAUUUGUCAUGUAUAUAGUGCUAGUUCCGGAUUGAAUUUUCUAAGCUCAUGUUGAAGAAAAGAAAAAGGUUCAAGUCUA